rnacentral:rRNA from 1 species
UCCUACGGGAGGCAGCAGUGGGGAAUUUUGCGCAAUGGGGGAAACCCUGACGCAGCAACGCCGCGUGGAGGAUGAAGUCCCUUGGGACGUAAACUCCUUUCGACCAAGACGAUAAUGACGGUACCGGUGGAAGAAGCACCGGCUAACUCUGUGCCAGCAGCCGCGGUAAUA